CCAGCCACUGUACCGGUCUUGUCAGAGUGACUGAGUAUAAUCCAGUGGAGGCGCAGAUUGACCCACCUUUAGGAAACAGAGCUGUCCAAACUAAUGGACAACCCUGUGCCGAAAAGUCUGGAACACUG